rnacentral:piRNA from 1 species
UAGUGGCAAUCUAAGUCCUUGAUCUC